GACGAACGCUGGCGGCGUGCCUAAUACAUGCAAGUCGAGCGAUGAUUAAAGAUAGCUUGCUAUUUUUAUGAAGAGCGGCGAACGGGUGAGUAACGCGUGGGAAAUCUGCCGAGUAGCGGGGGACAACGUUUGGAAACGAACGCUAAUACCGCAUAACAAUGAGAAUCGCAUGAUUCUUAUUUGAAAGAAGCAAUUGCUUCACUACUUGAUGAUCCCGCGUUGUAUUAGCUAGUUGGUAGUGUAAAGGACUACCAAGGCGAUGAUACAUAGCCGACCUGAGAGGGUGAUCGGCCACACUGGGACUGAGACACGUCCCAGACUCCUACGGGAGGCAGCAGUAGGGAAUCUUCGGCAAUGGGGGCAACUCUGACCGAGCAACGCCGCGUGAGUGAAGAAGGUUUUCGGAUCGUAAAACUCUGUUGUUAGAGAAGAACGUUAAGUAGAGUGGAAAAUUACUUAAGUGACGGUAUCUAACCAGAAAGGGACGGCUAACUACGUGCCAGCAGCCGCAGUAA
rnacentral:rRNA from 1 species